GCAGGUGUGGUGUAGUGCUUUACAUGUCUGCCUUCCAAGCAGAAGACCAAGGGUUGGAAUCCCUUUACCUGCAC
rnacentral:tRNA from 2 species